rnacentral:rRNA from 1 species
GACGAACGCUGGCGGCGUGCUUAACACAUGCAAGUCGAACGGAAAGGCCCUGCUUUUGUGGGGUGCUCGAGUGGCGAACGGGUGAGUAACACGUGAGUAACCUGCCCUUGACUUUGGGAUAACUUCAGGAAACUGGGGCUAAUACCGGAUAGGAGCUCCUGCUGCAUGGUGGGGGUUGGAAAGUUUCGGCGGUUGGGGAUGGACUCGCGGCUUAUCAGCUUGUUGGUGGGGUAGUGGCUUACCAAGGCUUUGACGGGUAGCCGGCCUGAGAGGGCGACCGGCCACAUUGGGACUGAGAUACGGCCCAGACUCCUACGGGAGGCAGCAGUGGGGAAUAUUGCACAAUGGGCGGAAGCCUGAUGCAGCAACGCCGCGUGCGGGAUGUCGGCCUUCGGGUUGUAAACCGCUUUCGCCUGUGACGAAGCGUGAGUGGCGGUAAUGGGUAAAGAAGCACCGGCUAACUACGUG